UGGGCAACGGUAGGUCAGUAUGCCCCGAAUCUCCCGGGCUACACGCGGGCUACAAUGGUUGGUACAAUGGGCAUCUACCCCGAAAGGGGAAGGAAAUCUCUUAAAGCCAAUCGUAGUUCGGAUUGAGGGCUGCAACUCGCCCUCAUGAAGCUGGAAUCCGUAGUAAUCGCGCAUCAGCCAUGGCGCGGUGAAUACGUUCCCGGGCCUU
rnacentral:rRNA from 1 species